GAUAUUUGUUGAAAACUAGAAAUGAUGGAUUUGAAGAGUUGACGUGAAAAAGUCAGCAUGGGCAUCUCUAAAUUCUAUUUUCUAAUAACAAAAAAAAAACCCCAAAUCUAUGAAUGUUAUACACAAAAGUAUGGGUGCGCCAGAGCUGUGUAAUCGCAGUGAGUAUGGAUCCAGGCUUUUUAGAUAAAUAUUACAAUACACCACAUACUAGAGUAAGUUCAUACAGCACACACGCACACACACACACACACACACACAUAUACAUACACAUAUAUAUAUAUAUUAUAUGCAGCCUGCAACACGCCGAGCCUUGUGUGCAAUAAGUCAUUAUUACAGUCGACACCGAAUCUGCCCUUUCAAGAAGAGAAAUACCAAAGCAAACUGCAGGCGUUCAAUAAAUUUACGCUUUAUAUAUUGUAUAUUAUAUGUGCAUCUAUUUACUACGCACAAAUUGUGUAAAUUAUCUUCUUUUUUUUUUUUUUAUACUGUACCCAACAAGUAUGGAUAUUAGAAUCAUCGCUGUACCGUAAUUGAACAGCUCAAUUUUAGAGGAAAAUAAUUUCGUCGGUACGUGUAACAUAAACUAAAGCUUAAAAAAUAUUGAGAUCGGAGAAUUUAGUUUUCACUUUUGUUUUCUUCCGAGUAAGAAAAAUAUUCAGACGACAAUCUUGUAGCGGAGUGUCAUUUGUAAUUUUGUCAGUACAAAGUACUAAAUUGUCGAUUAUUUUUGGACAAACUUUAUUACUAUCACUAUUAUUAUUAUUAUUAUUAUUAUAUUAUAAUAUUAUUAUUAUUACUACUACCUUAUUACCUUAUUAGGAAGCACUUACGUCUUUGGGACAUAUAUAUUUUUAUAGCACGCUGUGAUCGGCCGAUAUGUUUGCGGAAGACAUUUCGUAUACAGUUUAAGCUCGGGCCAUUAAUUUAGGAUAUAUAGAUACAUAUAUAUAUAUAUGAGUAUAUAUAAAUAUAUAUAUGUACAUAUAUGUACAUUUUGUUUCAAGCAUAUUUCUUUUUUUUUGUAUUUUUCAAAGUCAUUUCGCUCACGUUUAUUUUGACGUCGUACAGCCGGGAAAUGAAGAAUUAAUAUUAUUUUUUUAUUUUAUUUACAAAUUUUUAUUUAUGUUUCUUAGAAUCUAGCUUACUUUAGGAUAAAAUUCGUGUAACAAUUUUUGGGCGAGGAGCCCCUAAUGUGUAGAUAUUUUUUUUUUUUUUCGAUUCUUUAUCCCGCUUUUCUUUUCCUUUUUUUUUUUUUUUCCUGUGUCUCUCUCUUUUCAGUUGGUUGUAGUUUCUUAAAAGGGCAGAUUAUUCAUAUUAUGUGUUUUUAAUCUUUCUUGUAACGUAUGUGCUGUGUCCGCUCGGGUAUUGGCAGGCUGGCCAGUCAGACCCCUUAAAAAUUUAUACAGACACUAGAAGGCUGUUUUCCUUGCCCCUCCUGUCGAGGGGAUUUAUAUUUCUAAAUUAUGAAUUAUAUAGUUGCUUAGAAAAUGUGUUUUCAUUUUUUAUCCCUCUUUUUUUUUUUGUUUUCUCAA